rnacentral:rRNA from 1 species
ACUCAAAGGAAUAGACGGGGGCCCGCACAAGCAGCGGAGCGUGUGGUUUAAUUCGACGCAACGCGAAGAACCUUACCUGGGCUUGACAUGCGCGUGGUACGACCUCGAAAGGGGGAGGACCCGCAAGGGAGCGCGCACAGAUGCUGCAUGGCUGUCGUCAGCUCGUGCCGUGAGGUGUUGGGUUAAGUCCCGCAACGAGCGCAACCCUCGCUGCCAGUUACCCUUUCUGGCGGGACUGCCGGGUCCAACCCGGAGGAAGGUGGGGAUGAGGUCAAGUCAGCACGGCUCUUACGUCCAGGGCUACACACACGCUAAAAUGGCCGGUACAACGGGCUGCGAUGGAGCGAUCCGGAGCGAAUCCCACCAAAGCCGGUCUCAGUUGGGAUUGCAGGCUGCAACUCGCCUGCAUGAACGCGGAGUUGCUAGUAACCGCGGGUCAGCACACCGCGGUGAAUACGUUCCCGGGCCUUGCACACACCGCCCGU